AACAAAAAUUUUCGGUCCCUCCUUAAAGGUCCCCAAUUCCCGCCCAUUCUUCAGAACCUAAAAGCCCUAAUUUAGAUCCCCUAACCCUAAAAGCCCCAAAAAAAACCCAGUAAACUUCUCUCAUCAUUGCUGCUUUUCAUCACCACAGCUGCUCUUCCAGCCUACCGGCGCCACUUUUGCUGGUUUGCAUUUUCAUCUUCAUUUUAGGGUUUGACUGAUGGACGAAAUGAUGGCUCAUGGAAGUUCGAUGUCAAUAGCAACCCUCCGAGUGGUUGUCGUUGUUCAUGAAAAGGAGCUUGAUUAUGAAUUUUUCACCAUUGACAUGAAAUCUGGUGCUCAUAAACAAUAACCUUUCAUCUCCCUUAACUAAUAUCAUAAAAUUCAGAUUGAAUUUGGUGAGUAUACGGCUGCCGCAUACUAACUUCCUGUUGUUCUCUCACGCGACAUACCAGGAAGGUGAAGUUGGCAAGUACUUUGCAUGAAUCUUGACAAGUAAACUUGCUGUAAACAUUAUGCUUGGCCAUGUUGCAGUAAGAUAAAGUAAGCUACUGAUCAUAGUUCUGUAGAUUCUCUUAUCAACUUUCUCUUGUCAAUCAUCCUUGCACAAUAU